rnacentral:rRNA from 1 species
GCGCGAAAACUUUACACUGCGGGAAACCGCGAUAAGGGGAUACUGAGUGCCAGCAUCUUAUGUUGGCUGUCCGCAUGUAUAAAUAGCAUGUGUUAGCAAGGGCCGGGCAAGACCGGUGCCAGCCGCCGCGGUAACACCGGCGGCCCGAGUGGUGGCCACUAUUAUUGGGUCUAAAGGGUCCGUAGCCGGUUUGAUCAGUCUUCCGGGAAAUCUGACAGCUCAACUGUUAGGCUUCCGGGGGAUACUGUCAGACUUGGGACCGGGAGAGGUAAGAGGUACUACAGGGGUAGGAGUGAAAUCUUGUAAUCCUUGUGGGACCACCAGUGGCGAAGGCGUCUUACCAGAACGGGUCCGACGGUGAGGGACGAAAGCUGGGGGCACGAACCGGAUUAGAUACCCGGGUAGUCCCAGCCGUAACGAUGCUCGCUAGGUGUCUGGGAUGGUGCGACCGUUUCAGGUGCCGCAGGGAAGCCGUGAAGCGAGCCACCUGGAGUACGGCCGCAGGCUGAAACGUUAAAGGAAUUGGCGGGGGAGCGACUAACG